rnacentral:lncRNA from 1 species
GCCCCACCUGGGAGGGACAGGAGCUGGGAGGGAGGGAAGGGGACAGGGUGGACACCAGCCGUGCAGGCCUCAGGGAGCCUGCUUUUUUCUCAGCAGCUACAGAGCACCCACAAAGAUCUGCCUGACUACCCGUCACCCAGGGCUGGGCACUGGGAGACCUGCAGUCAAAGAAUGAGCCUUCCAAGCACAGGAAGAUCUACUGGGGCUUCCACAAGGAAAAAGUCCACGGUGGUAAAUGACAGCAAAUGCUACCAAAGUUGGGAAAGAAACCCGAAUCAAAGGGCCAUGCAGAAGGACAAAUAUGGACCAAGAGCUUCCCGAGGACCAGGGCCUCUCUGCCUCCUGUUCCCAAGACCUAGCAUAGUGCUUGGCAAGAGCUGGGCUUGGACUAGUGGUGAUUAACAAAGCAAAGAAGGCACAUAAAUGGCCCAGCACACCUCUGGCACAUAGUAAAUGCUCAAUAAACGCUAGCUGUUGUUUUUCCACAGAAUAAUCACAGGCUCAAAACUCUUAUAAAGUAUCUUCAGGUGCCUCUCAGCUGUGCUGCUUUAGUGAAAGGCCGGGUGCAGCUGGGACCCCCCCCAGCCAUGUUUUG